GGCUCAGGACGAACGCUGGCGGCGUGCUUAACACAUGCAAGUCGAGCGAUGAAGCUUCUUCGGGAGUGGAUUAGCGGCGGACGGGUGAGUAACACGUGGGUAACCUGCCUCAUAGAGGGGAAUAGCCUUUCGAAAGGAAGAUUAAUACCGCAUAAGAUUGUAGUACCGCAUGGUACAGCAAUUAAAGGAGUAAUCCGCUAUGAGAUGGACCCGCGUCGCAUUAGCUAGUUGGUGAGGUAACGGCUCACCAAGGCGACGAUGCGUAGCCGACCUGAGAGGGUGAUCGGCCACAUUGGGACUGAGACACGGCCCAGACUCCUACGGGAGGCAGCAGUGGGGAAUAUUGCACAAUGGGGGAAACCCUGAAUGCAGCAACGCCGCGUGAGUGAUGACGGCCUUCGGGUUGUAAAACUCUGUCUUUGGGGACGAUAAUGACGGUACCCAAGGAGGAAGCCACGGCUAACUACGUGCCAGCCGCCGC
rnacentral:rRNA from 1 species